rnacentral:rRNA from 1 species
AGAACGAACGCUGGUCGCAUGCUUAACACAUGCAAGUCGCACGGGCAGGGCAACCUGUCAGUGGCGGACUGGUCAGUAACGCGUAGGUAUCUAUCCUCGGGUGGGGGACAACCACGGGAAACUGUGGCUAAUACCGCAUGAUGACUGAGGUCCAAAGGCGCAAGUCGCCUGGGGAGGAGCCUGCGUCCGAUUAGCUUGUUGGUGGGGUAAUGGCCUACCAAGGCUCCGAUCGGUAGCUGGUCUGAGAGGAUGAUCAGCCACACUGGGACUGAGACACGGCCCAGACUCCUACGGGAGGCAGCAGUGGG